GGUGUUGUUAUAGAGGGAGUUUAAAGCCUCUCUCUAGAGAGUUUUGCCAGCAGCGGUGGAAGAGCCGUAUAGCAGGGGAGAAAAAAAAAACGAUGAGCAGGACUCAGGAGGCAGCAAAAACAAUUGAGCGCCGAGACAAAUGCAGAAGCGCAAGUCAGCAGGCGGCACAGCAUGAUAUUAUACAGUAAGCAGAGACACUGAAAGGGAGGAGCCACCCACCAGAGCGGUAGUAGUAGUAGUAUCAGACAGAGAAGACGAGGAACAGAUCUGUGCCAGGCGGAAGAAAGGCAUCGUCAAUCACUCGACCCAAAAGCUGCAGUUAAGGACUUAAAAACACGAGGAUAGCUGGUACGUGAUCAAUCAAUCAAUUUGCUCGCUCGUCCGUCUGGCUCUACUAGAAGUUGAUUGAGUCAUCAAGGUUAAGUUUUAUCGCUUGGUGUCAAUUUUUGUCACUAAGUUUACAUAAAUUACAUCCAUCGCUCUUUAGGAGGGCUUAUAAAAGUCGGGUCCGGAGAAAGGAACAAAGGAAGCAGGAAGGAAGAAGAAUGUCACCAUUGUUCCUCGGGGAGGCAAAAUUCACCACCAGCGCUAGAAGAGGGAAAAGCUAUCAAAGCUCCAAGCCAGCCAAGCUUGACGACGCUUCUCUCUGGACAUCCCCCGGCAUUUACAUGAAGGAUGGAGACUUGUAUCCAAUGUGAUACACCAAAGAUACUUAUAAUCUCUCUGAGGAGCUGGUUAACUUCUGGACUGCGCUUGAAAGGGGCUUUUGGACGUGGAACCGGUGAAAGCGAGCGCUCGCUCGCUCUACCUGUUGGCUAUCGGCUUACUAAUUCGCGAGAUGGCGACGAAGCAGCGAGAUUUAUAGUUUAUGAUAUUCUCAUCCCUCAUUAAAUGCUGCUAGCUUGGAGAGCUCCAAAGCCAGGAAGAAUUUUUUCAGGACGAAGAUUGUGAGUGAGCUAGAAACUUUGGACCACAGGCAAGAAACUCACAUUUGGUUUUUGAGGCCCACUGUUUUUUCCUUGCUUUUUUGUGGAUUGCAGCCUCACCACUGCCACUCUACAAGUGGAGAGUGAUUCCAUCUAUUCCAGUCCAUCAAUCUCCCCUACAAGCAUGUUUUUCCACAGAUUCAAAGAACCAACACAUUGAGAUGGUAUCUCUGCUUGGAGGACAGUGAGUAUUUGUGUACUCUGUACGUUGCAAAAGCCAACAUUGUGGUGUGUUCCUUGAGAAGAAAACAAAGCCAGAAAUUAGUUUUUUCUUA